rnacentral:rRNA from 1 species
AACGAACGCUGGCGGCAUGCCUAACACAUGCAAGUCGAACGAUACAUUCGGGGCUAGUGGCGCACGGUUGCUUAACGCGUGGUAACCUGCCCUUAGGUUCGGUAUAACUCCCCGAAAGGGGUGCUCAUACCGGAUCAUCUCUUCGUGCCAACGAUUUAUCGCCUUUGGAUGGGCCCGCGUUAGGUUUGUUGGUUGGUAAUGUAAAAGCAUACCAACGCGACGAUGCAUAGCUGGUCUGAGAGGAGGAUCAGCCACACUGGCAAUGAGACACGGCCCAGACUGGGACGGGAGGGAGGAGUGGGGAAUAUUGUACAAGAGGCGAAAGCGUGAUGAAGCAACGCGGGGGGAGAGAGGAAGGGCUUAGGGUUGUAAAGUUAUCUGACAAGGGAUGAUAAUGACAGUACCGGGAGAAUAAGCGCCGGCUAACUCCGUG